rnacentral:rRNA from 1 species
GACGAACGCUGGCGGCGUGCCUAAUACAUGCAAGUAGAACGCUGAAGGAGGAGCUUGCUUCUCUGGAUGAGUUGCGAACGGGUGAGUAACGCGUAGGUAACCUGCCUGGUAGCGGGGGAUAACUAUUGGAAACGAUAGCUAAUACCGCAUAAUAGUAGAUGUUGCAUGACAUUUGCUUAAAAGGUGCAAUUGCAUCACUACCAGAUGGACCUGCGUUGUAUUAGCUAGUUGGUGAGGUAACGGCUCACCAAGGCAACGAUACAUAGCCGACCUGAGAGGGUGGUCGGCCACACUGGGACUGAGACACGGCCCAGACUCCUACGGGAGGCAGCAGUAGGGAAUCGUCGGCAAUGGACGGAAGUCUGACCGAGCAACGCCGCGUGAGUGAAGAAGGUGUUCGGAUCGUAAAGCUCUGUUGUAAGGGAAGAACGAGUGUGAGAGUGGAAAGUUCACACUGUGACGGUAUCUUACCAGAAAGGGACGGCUAACUACGUG